UUCCCUACAUUUUCGAAUUGAAAAUAAAAAAUAAAAAAUAAAAAAUAGGGAUAGUUCGAGUUUACCUGGGAUGGCGGUUUCGUCAUCCGAAUGGAGAGCGACACCGCUUCACGGCUUCGAGUGGUGACCAUGGGCUAUGAAGGGGUAGAUCGGGAGAUUUGUUGGAGUUUAUGAAAAGGAAAGUGAGCUCUUUAUUUUAUUUGGGUGUUACCUGGUGAGAUUUGGGAGCGAUCGGAGUGAAGAGUUGUUGUCGAGUGGUGGCCGGCGUAGCAGCAAAGGUGAACGGCGAUUAAGUAGAGCUCGUGGUGUUUCCCGAUAAUGCCGCCGCAUGUCAGAUAAGGAAUGAGUUAGAGAAUGAAAUUCGAAGGCUGAGUUUAGGGUUAGAUGUCAGAUAACAAAAGAAAAUUUCUUAGUUAAGGAAACACGUUUGUUUUCAAUUGAGGAGUUAAUCACUGCAUAGGUCAUCCUAAGAUUUCAAUAUUUUACAAUUUGGUCAUGAGUUUGCAUUUUUGUUUAUCUAUUUCCGAAUUAUUGUCCUAAUAGCUAGGGGUGUGCAAAAAAACCUAAUUCGACCGAUUCGAUCUGUUGAUAUGAUGAUCCGAUCCGAAAAUUCGGAUAUCCGAUCCGUUUUUCAAUUUUUGGAUAGUUUGGAUCGGGUAUCCAAUUUUUUUUUCGGAUUAUCGGAUCGGAUACGGAUCGAAAAUAUAUCAAUUUCGGAUUAUCUGAAAACCCGAAUUUUUGUUGUUGCUAUUUUCUAUAAUUCGAAACAGAAGUCACUGAGAGAAGUGCUUCGAUUACCAAGUGAAGAAGAAGACCGAGGAGAGAGUGAGAAGAAAAUGAAAGAAAUCUUAGCCCGAUAUUACGGAGUGAAUUGGCAAAUCUUGAUAAAGAUGCUGAUAGUCGAAAAUCAACAAUGAAUGCACUGAAAUCAUAUGUGAGAGACUAGGAUUCGAAGGCGAUACCGGUCUUCCUUGCUCAAGUUUCGGAGACAAAAGAAACCGGGUUAGUGUCGGGCGAAUACACUAUUUCACUAUAUAAAUUCUUGCUCGUGUUCAUGGUGUGAAGAUUGCUCCUCAAAUUGAUAGUAUAAUGUCCACCAUUAUCAAGACAUUAGCUUCGAGUGCAGGCUCUUUUCCUCUACAUCAAGCCUUUUCGAAGGUGGUUCCUACAAUUGCAAGAUAUGGAAUUGAUCCAACCACUCCGGAGGAUAAGAAGAGGCAUAUCAUCCACUCACUUUGUAAGCCUCUGUCGGAUCAGAUACAAUACUAGUUAUUUGC